rnacentral:rRNA from 1 species
AACGAACGCUGGCGGCAUGCCUAACACAUGCAAGUCGAACGAGACCUUCGGGUCUAGUGGCGCACGGGUGCGUAACGCGUGGGAAUCUGCCCUUCGGUUGGGAAUAACUGAGAGAAAUUUCAGCUAAUACCUUAUAAUGUCUUCGGACCAAAGAUUUAUCGCCGAGGGAUGAGCCCGCGUAGGAUUAGGUAGUUGGUGGGGUAAUGGCCUACCAAGCCGACGAUCCUUAGCUGGUCGGAGAGGAUGAUCAGCCACACUGGGACUGAGACACGGCCCAGACUCCUACGGGAGGCAGCAGUGGGGAAUAUUGGACAAUGGGCGAAAGCCUGAUCCAGCAAUGCCGCGUGAGUGAUGAAGGCCUUAGGGUUGUAAAGCUCUUUUACCCGGGAUGAUAAUGACAGUACCGGGAGAAUAAGCACCGGCUAACUCCGUG